rnacentral:tRNA from 1 species
GCCGGGGUGGCCGAGCGGACCAAGGCGGUGGCCUGGAGAGCCACUGCCCAUCUCUGGGCGCCCGGGUUCAAAUCCCGGCCCCGGCGCCA